GGGGUUGUGGCUCAGUGGUAGAGAGCUUGCCUGGCACGUGUGAGGCGUGGGGUUCAAUCCUCAGCACCCCCA
rnacentral:tRNA from 1 species